rnacentral:tRNA from 1 species
GCCUGGCUGGCUCAAUGGAUGGAGCACAUGACUCUUGAUUUUGGGGUUGUGAGUUCAAGCCCCAUACUGGGUA